CAAAUACUCCCUCCGUCCGGAAAUACUUGUCAUCAAAAUGGAUAAAAGGAAAUAUAUCUAGACGUAUUUUAAUUUUAGAUACAUCUCUUUUUAUCCAUUUUGAUGACAAGUAUUUUCGGACGGAGGGAGUAUUUA
rnacentral:pre_miRNA from 1 species